CUGGUGGNAAGUGGCGAACGGGUGAGUAAAGUAUCGACGUGCCUGGUUAGUGGGGGAUAACUAGUCGAAAGACUAGCUAAUACCGCAUACGAUCUAAGGAUGAAAGCAGGGGAACCUUCGGGCCUUGUGCUAUCAGAAGCGGCCGAUUUCUGAUUACUAUUUGGUGGGGUAAAAGCCCACCAAGGCGACAUCAGUACUGGUCUGAAGACGACCACCACACUGGAACUGAGACACGGUCCAGACUCCUACGGGAGGCAGCCAGUGGGGAAUUUUGGACAAUGGGGGCAACCCUGAUCCAGCAAUGCCGCGUGAGUGAAGAAGGCCCUCGGGUUGUAAAGCUCUUUUGUCAGGGAAGAAAAGGCUGUGGCUAAUAUCCACAGCUGCUGACGGUACCUGAAGAAUAAGCACCGGCUAACUACGUGCCAGCAGCCGCGGUAAUACGUAGGGUGCAAGCGUUAAUCGGAAUUACUGGGCGUAAAGCGUGCGCAGGCGGUUUUAUAAGUCUGAUGUGAAAUCCCCGGGCUCAACCUGGGAACUGCAUUGGAGACUGUAAGGCUAGAGUGUGUCAGAGGGGGGUAGAAUUCCACGUGUACAGUGAAA
rnacentral:rRNA from 1 species